rnacentral:rRNA from 1 species
GACGGAGGAUGCAAGUGUUACCCGGAAUCACUGGGCGUAAAGCGUCUGUAGGUGGUUUAAUAAGUCAACUGUUAAAUCUUGAGGCUCAACCUCAAAAUCGCAGUCGAAACUAUUAGGCUAGAGUAUAGUAGGGGUAAAGGGGAUUUCCAGUGGAGCGGUGAAAUGCGUAGAGAUUGGAAAGAACACCGAUGGCGAAGGCACUUUACUGGGACAUUUCUGACGCUGAGAAACGAAAGCGUGGGUAGCAAACAGG